AUUGAACGCUGGCGGCAGGCCUAACACAUGCAAGUCGAGCGGAUGAAGGGAGCUUGCUCCUGGAUUCAGCGGCGGACGGGUGAGUAAUGCCUAGGAAUCUGCCUGGUAGUGGGGGAUAACGUCCGGAAACGGGCGCUAAUACCGCAUACGUGCUGAGGGAGAAAGUGGGGGAUCUUCGGACCUCACGCUAUCAGAUGAGCCUAGGUCGGAUUAGCUAGUUGGUGGGGUAAAGGCCUACCAAGGCGACGAUCCGUAACUGGUCUGAGAGGAUGAUCAGUCACACUGGAACUGAGACACGGUCCAGACUCCUACGGGAGGCAGCAGUGGGGAAUAUUGGACAACGGGCGAAAGCCUGAUCCAGCCAUGCCGCGUGUGUGAAGAAGGUCUUCGGAUUGUAAAGCACUUUAAGUUGGGAGGAAGGGCAGUAAGUUAAUACCUUGCUGUUUUGACGUUACCAACAGAAUAAGCACCGGCUAACUUCGUG
rnacentral:rRNA from 1 species